ACGAACGUUGGCGGCGUGGAUUAGGCAUGCAAGUCGGGGGAAUCCCAGCAAUGGGGGAACCGGCGUAAGGGGCAGUAAUGUGUGGGUACCUACCUUUGGGUUCGGGAUAGCCAUCAGAGAUGGUGGGUAAUACCGGAUGACGUCGUGAGACCAAAGAUUUAUCGCCCGAAGAGGGGCCCACAUGAUAUUAGCUUGUUGGUGAGGUAACGGCUCACCAAGGCGAAGAUGUCUAGCGGGUGUGAGAGCACGACCCGCGCCACUCGCACUGAGACACUGGCGAGACACCUACGGGUGGCUGCAGUCGAGGAUCUUCGGCAAUGGGCGCAAGCCUGACCGAGCGACGCCGCGUGAGCGAUGAAGGCCUUCGGGUUGUAAAGCUCUUUAGUGGGGGAGAAAAGCCCGCAAGGGUGUGAUCUAUCCCAAAAAUAAGCACGGGCUAAGUUCGU
rnacentral:rRNA from 1 species